UACAUGCAAGUCGAGCGAAUGGAUUAAGAGCUUGCUCUUAUGAAGUUAGCGGCGGACGGGUGAGUAACACGUGGGUAACCUGCCCAUAAGACUGGGAUAACUCCGGGAAACCGGGGCUAAUACCGGAUAACAUUUUGAACCGCAUGGUUCGAAAUUGAAAGGCGGCUUCGGCUGUCACUUAUGGAUGGACCCGCGUCGCAUUAGCUAGUUGGUGAGGUAACGGCUCACCAAGGCAACGAUGCGUAGCCGACCUGAGAGGGUGAUCGGCCACACUGGGACUGAGACACGGCCCAGACUCCUACGGGAGGCAGCAGUAGGGAAUCUUCCGCAAUGGACGAAAGUCUGACGGAGCAACGCCGCGUGAGUGAUGAAGGCUUUCGGGUCGUAAAACUCUGUUGUUAGGGAAGAACAAGUGCUAGUUGAAUAAGCUGGCACCUUGACGGUACCUAACCAGAAAGCCACGGCUAACUACGUGCCAGCAGCCGCGGUAAUACGUAGGUGGCAAGCGUUAUCCGGAAUUAUUGGGCGUAAAGCGCGCGCAGGUGGUUUCUUAAGUCUGAUGUGAAAGCCCACGGCUCAACCGUGGAGGGUCAUUGGAAACUGGGAGACUUGAGUGCAGAAGAGGAAAGUGGAAUUCCAUGUGUAGCGGUGAAAUGCGUAGAGAUAUGGAGGAACACCAGUGGCGAAGGCGACUUUCUGGUCUGUAACUGACACUGAGGCGCG
rnacentral:rRNA from 1 species